rnacentral:lncRNA from 1 species
GAAGCCCCGCACUGUGUGAUGCUAGACUCUAGCCUUGACCUCUCCAGCCUGUCUAGAUUUGGGGACCCCUGGACAGGUGAUGAGCAUCUGUCCUGAGGGCUGGAACAGGGGCACAGCCCCCUGUCCCAAGUUCUCUAGACUUGUCACCCACCCCAUGCCCCUUGUAUGCUCCCUGGUGGUUCAGUCCAUCUGGGUGUUCUCCAGGACCUCAUGUCCCACAAGGUAAACCCAAACCCUCCCGAUUGAUUGGUGCUGUUCUCUAGGUUGAUUCACCAGCCAGAAUCAGUUAAGAUUUAAGGAGAAUGGAGUAGAUGUAAGAGUUCCUGUUGCCUAUUAAGGACUGGGUGCUUGCCUGGUCUGUGGAAGCGCCUGGAAGCUGGUCCUAGAGACCUCUGGUCUCCAAUCCCUGCUCUACCCUGCUGCAGGGACAUCCCCAGGUUAAGUGCAUGGUCCAGGGAACAGCUGAGAGGGCAGGAGCAAGGGGGUGUCCAUGGGUGGGAGUGCCCCUGGAAGUUCUUUCAAUCUAUGUGCAGUUCUCAACUCCCACCUUCAGGAUCCCUCAGGAUUGGGAUGGUGGGGAAUGUGGCUCUGAGGACGGAUUUUGUUAAAUUCAUAAAUCAUCAAAUUCAGCCAUUAAAGUAUACAACUCAGUGGUUUUUAGAGUAUUUACAGAGUUGUGCAGUUGUCAUCACUAUUUCCACAGCGUUUCACUACCCCACAAAGAAAUCUCUUACCCAUCAGCAGGUGCCCCCAUGGCCCUCUCCCCCAGCCCCUGUGGACCACUGGACCACUUGCUGUGUCUAUAGAUCUGGCUAUUCUGGACAUUUCAUAUAAAUGGAAUCAUACAAUAUGUAGCCUUUUGUGUCUGACUUCUUUCACUUAGCAUAAUGUCCAUCCAUGUAGUAGCAUGUACCAAAAUUUCGUUCCUUUCUACGGUGGAAUAAUAUUCCAUUGCAUGUAUAGAUCACAUUUUGUUUAUCCAUUCAUCUGUCCAUAGACACUUAGACUGUUUCCGCCUUUUUGCUAUUGUGAGUAGUUCUUCUAUGAAUAUGCACGUGCAAAUAUUUGAGUACCUGUUUUCACUUCUCCUGGGUCUAUACCUAUGAGCAGAAUUGCUGGGUCAUAUGGUAACUCUAGGUUUAACUUUUUGAGGAACUACCAAACUGUUUUCCACAGCAGCUGCACCAUUUUACAUUCCUUCCAGCAACAGAGGAGUGUUCUAAUUUCUCCACAUCCUCGCCAACACUUGUUCUUUUCCAUUUUCUUGGUAACAGCCAUUCCAAUGGGUGACAAGUAGUAUCUCAUUGUGGUUUUGAUUUGCAUUUCCCCGAGGGCUAACGCCAUUGCACAUCUUUUCAUGUGCUUGUUGGCCGUUAGUCUAUCACUUUAGAGAAAUGUCUGUCUAAGUCCUUUGUCCAUUUUCUAACUGGGCUAUUCGUCUUUUCAUUGUUGAGUUAUGAGUUCUUUACGUAUUCUGUAUACUAGACCUGGUAUCAGAUAGGCAAUUUGCAUUCAUUUUCACCCAUCAUGUGGGUUGCCUUUUUGCUUUCUCGAUGCUAUCAUUUGAAGCACUGAAGUUUUAAUUGUGAUGAAGUCAAGUUUAUUGAUUUUUUUUAUUGCUUGUGCUUUUGGUGUCCAAGAGCAAAAUUUGAUUCCCAGUAAGCCUGCAGGAAGCCGCUCAUCAGCAGCAGCUGCCCUCUCCUUUCCUCAGUGCCAGCGCCGGGUCGAGAGGACACCACACUGCACUGCAGAUCAGCAGUCCAUCUGACCUCUGGGUCCUCCUGUCCCUUAUAAAGCUGGCUGAAGAGAGCUUUGUAAUCUCAUUAUGACGGAAUUUCCCAGGUGGCUGGGAAGGCAGCCUGUAAGCGGGAGUGUUAGAAAGUGAGUGUGAACCUAUGAUCCACCAACCCAGGAUGUCACCCAACCUGGCUGUAGGGUUUUCUCCACUCAGAUCGGACAGCCUGGGGAGCUGCCAAGAGGGAACAGACUUGUUUGUUCUUGAAGCUCUUCAGUGCAGUGUAAUACUCAGAGUUUUUGUCUUGCAGCAUGGACACGAAGGAGGACCUGGGGAGCCAGCUGGCCCUAGAACAAGCAGCGAUAACAGCCAAAUGCAAUCAGGGAUGACAUGCAGGGUGCCUGCAGAACCUGCGGAGGAUGCUGACCUCUCACUAUACAAAGUCACCGACCAUCUUGCUUUUCUGCAGUGAGUUGUCUAGACACCCCUCCAUCUCAACUCAGGGAUGGUCUCUGUUUGCAGAAACACCUCUCUGGAGGCAGGACCUGUCUCCCCAGCUCAGGGCCUUAUCCCCUGGUGCCCACUGUGGGCCAGGGUGUGCACUGGGCUCAAGCCAAGAGACCCAGCAUGCAAACUUGAGGAAAUGGGCAGGGGGUGGAGCUGGGCAUUGGGCCAGGUGCUUGGGCCUUCAGCAGUGUGGCCUCCAUGCCCGUAACGGAGAGGGGGUGAUGGUGUCCACCUCCCAGGCCAGAGGGAGAGUCCAGCCCGGUCAGCAGUGGUUCCACAGGGUGAGGGGCACCUGAGCAAGCCUGUGGGCAGUUGUCCAGCAGGUCUCCGAGGGCUCAAGUGGGCCCAGUUGAGUGGCCAUGUGGCGACUAGCAUGAGGGCAACAAGGGGUGUGGCCUCAGGCAUUGAGGGGACAGGCAGGGGGAGCAUUCUGGCAGGACCUGGCCUCAGAAUCUCAUGGGAUGGUGACAGGCAGGUCGAGUUUGAGGCUGAAGACAACCUGACCCCUUGGUCUGGUGCUAGGAGGAGAUUUGGGGUGGAAGGCGGGCCAGGUUGUUGUCAAGGGUGAGAGGAGAGGACACUGGAGGAGGAUGGGAUUAGGGUGGUGUGUGUGUGUGUGUGUGUGUGUGUGUGUCUACCUGGACGGAGCUAGCCUGCAGCAGGGCCGAAGGCGCUGGGCUCCUGGGAUGGUGGCAUCCUCUUUGGGGGAGGACAGCCUGGAAUGGGGAGAGGCCCAGGGCCAAAGCGACUCACCUGAGACACCUGAGCCAGGAGCCUCGGUCAGUCCUGAAGGCAUGAAGGCCUCUGCAGUGCUCUCUAAAGACACUGCUGGUCAAAAGUGCAGGCGAGAAGCCGUGGAGGAGGCGCCAUGAUCAGGCGGGGGAGGGGUGGUGGUGCAGAGCAGAGAGGGUGGAUGACCCCCAUCAGCAGAAGGGAGGAUGGGGAGGAGGCUGCCCUGGUGCAUGGAGUGUGAAGGUAGAGAGCGCAGCAGGCUGUGCGGUGAUGCUGCAGUGGGAGGGAAGGAAGCCAACGGCCACCAUGAGAAGCAGGCUGAGGCUGGAUACACGGCACGGGGCCAACCUGUCUGCCCCUCGGUCACACUCAUUGCCCAGUGGAUGAGCAGUUGUUUGGGCCAAUCAGGGGUGGGUCGUGCUCAGAGGUUCUGACAAGAUAAGGGGUAAAAGAUAGGCCAGAGUGGCUGAAGUGACGGACGAGAGAGGGGUGAAGUCAGGGGACGGGAGGGGUGCAGAGAGAGGCAGGAUAGACGGCAGACAGACCCAUGAGGGGCAUGAGGAUGUCAGCAGGAUGGGCACAGGGUGUACCCUGGCUGUACUGGGGAGUUCUCAGGCUGGCCCAACCCCAGGACAGUGGCAGGUCACCUUCUGGGGGCCUGCUAUCAGGACGCAGCCCAUUCCCCGUGCCAGCACUGUCCCUUCUUAGGCUCCUACAGAGGCCACUGCCUCUGGCAUGACUGUGGCUGGAGCCCCAUAAGCACCUGGCAGCCGCUGCCCUCCCUCUGCCCCAUGUUGCUGGCACCCUCCUGGGGUUAGCCCUCCCUUCCAGAGUCACCUGGGCUGAGACUUGGGGUUUAGUGAGGGGAGGGCCUGGUCCUUCCCUGGCACCUGGCCUGGGGCAGGUCCUCAUGGCUCUGCUUCUUUUGCCUUCCAGUGAGAAGGAGCUGCCCAGCCUCAGCACCCGGGGCGGGGGGGGGGGGGGGGGGGGGGGGGCCGGUAAUGGUAAGAGCUUGUCCUCACUGUGCAGGCAGGAGGAGGUCCAUGGGUGCAGGGACUGGGGUUCCUGCCACCCCCGACCUCCAAGCUGUCCUGGGGGAGGUUUUACCAAAUCCACUUGUCCCAGAACCACACACUCAGCUCAGGGGUCACUGCCCGCUGGCUGCCAAGACCCCACCUCGAGGCUGGGACCCAGCUGGAAGCCCUGGUGUCUGUGUGAGUCAGUCUGUGCCUUUUCUGGCUCCUCUGAGUUCGCCCACAUCGGGGCUCCUAAGCAUGACUCAACGCUGUGCCACUCCAGGAAAGCUGGCAGCUUGGCUAACACCACCAUUUCUCAUUUUCUAGCAGAAACUCCGGGAGACUGGGCGAGCAGAUAAGUGGGUCAAGAUGCUAAAGGAAUGGUAUAAAUACCAGAGCAGCAAGAAGAUAGAGAACUGAGCACUAGAUAGGCGGUAUGCUCUCCUGAUCCCAAGGAGGACGGGCCUGGAUCCCCAGGGCAGCUCGCAGCUUCCCUGACCACCCCACAAGGGUCACCUCGCCUGGAGAGGAUCUGACGCCAGAGCCGGAGCCAGCCCAGGCCCAGGGCCUCAUAGGGAAGGAUAAGUCAGGACCAUAGUUCACAAUGUCCCUCGAGCCCUCGUCCACUCUUAAUUGUGGGAGACAGGGCCCAGUUCUGGGUAAACCCAACCUCUUCUGAGAAACCACGGAGCUGAAGACUAGAAUCUUCCAGAUGCGUCCGACUCAUCUCCUCCGCAGCGUCGCCCUGUGGCCUGUUUCACCAGAGCUUUCUUCUAUCCUGUAGAAGCAUCGAAGGUCUCCAAAGGAAUCCUUUGACAGAUGCAAGAUCAGGUGUGGUCUCUCCGAUUGGACGUUCA